AACGCGAAGAACCUUACCUGGGUUUGACAUCCCCGGACCGCGCUGGAGACAGCGAAUCUGUAGCAAUACAGCCGGGAGACAGGUGCUGCAUGGCUGUCGUCAGCUCGUGUGGUGACAUGUUGGGUUAAGUCCCGCAACGAGCGCAACCCUUGUCCUUAGUUGCCAGCAUUCAGUUGGGCUCUCUAAGGAGACUGCCGUGGUUAACACGGAGGAAGGUGGGGAUGACGUCAAGUCCUCAUGGCCUUUAUAUCCAGGGCGACACACGUGAUACAAUGGACGGUACAGAGGGAAGCGAAACCGCGAGGUGGAGCCAAUCUCAAAAAGCCGUUCUCAGUUCGGAUUGGAGUCUGCAACUCGACUCCAUGAAGUUGGAAUCGCUAGUAAUCGCGGAUCAGCACGCCGCGGUGAAUACGUUCCCGGGCCUUGUACACACCGAGUAUA
rnacentral:rRNA from 1 species